AAACCAGCACCUCAAGUGGUCAGGAUGAUUAUUGGGCCUAAAGCAUCCGUAGCCGGCUCUGUAAGUUUUCGGUUAAAUCUGUACGCUCAACGUACAGGCUGCCGGGAAUACUGCAGAGCUAGGGAGUGGGAGAGGUAGACGGUACUCGGGAGGAAGUGGUAAAAUGCUUUGAUCUCUCGAUGACCACCUGUGGCGAAGGCGGUCUACCAGAACACGUCCGACGGUGAGGGAUGAAAGCUGGGGGAGCAAACCGGAUUAGAAACCCUUGUAGUCC
rnacentral:rRNA from 1 species